AUUCACUCUGGGAUCCAGGCCAGGCUUUCUCAGCUCUGUCCCAUCUCUCCUUAAAUUUGUAGGGCAGAACAGUCGUCUUUAUCCGAUAUCAUCAUCAAUAAUCCUCUUCUAUGGAUUAGAGUAAACUACAUCUGUGGGAGGAGGGGAGUCAAGAAACUGGUGAUGUCAGCAAACACUCCUAGAGAAUGAAGAAUAUUCAUGAAGCAGUCUGAUCUUCAAAGAAGAAAGGUGCUGCAUAGAAUUCCACUCAGGCA